AGCAGCCGCGGUAAUUCUAGCUCCAAUAGCGUAUAUUAAAGUCGCUGCAGUUAAAAGCCCGUAGUUGAAUUUCGGGAUCAAUAUGUCGGUCGUGCCUCGGUACGCACUGGCUUAUUGGUUUCUCCCUUCUGACGAACCAUGAUGUCAUUAAUUUGGUGUCUUGGGAAAUCAGGACUGUUACUUUGAAAAAUUGGAGUGUUUAAAGCAGGCUCACGCUUGAAUACAUUAGCAUGGAAUAAUGAAAUAGGACGUUUGAUUCUAUUUUGUUGGUUUCUAGGAUCGACGUAAUGAUUAAUAGGGAUAGUUGGGGGCAUUAGUAUUCAAUUGUCAGAGGUGAAAUUCUUGGAUUUAUUGAAGACUAACUACUACGAAAGCAUUUGCCAAGGAUGUUUUCAUUAAUCAAGAACGAAAGUUAGGGAUCGAAGACGAUCAGAUACCGUCGUAGUCUUA
rnacentral:rRNA from 1 species